rnacentral:rRNA from 1 species
GUAGGUGGCAAGCGUUAUCCGGAUUUACUGGGUGUAAAGGGCGUGUAGGCGGGCUGGCAAGUCAGAUGUGAAAACCAUGGGCUCAACCCAUGGCCUGCAUUUGAAACUGUCAAUCUAGAGUACCGGAGAGGUAAGCGGAAUUCCUAGUGUAGCGGUGAAAUGCGUAGAUAUUAGGAGGAACACCAGUGGCGAAGGCGGCUUANUGGACGGUAACUGACGUUGAGGCUCGAAAGCGUGGGGAGCAAACAGGAUUAGAUACCCUGGUAGUCCACGCCGUAAACGAUGACUACUAGGUGUCGGGCAGCAAAGCUGUUCGGUGCCGCAGCAAACGCAAUAAGUAGUCCACCUGGGGAGUACGUUCGCAAGAAUGAAACUCAAAGGAAUUGACGGA